GGGUUAGUAGUUAAUAAUAAUAAUAAGAGUUUUGUAAACUUUAGUAAGCUGGGUCUCUAGCCCU
rnacentral:tRNA from 1 species